GCAGCGGGGCGACCCCGGGGCGGCGGGGCGCGCUUCGCCAUGGAGGGCAUGGACGUGGAUUUGGACGCGGAGCUGAUGCAGAAGUUCAGCUGUUUGGGUACUACCGACAAGGACGUGCUGAUCGGCGAGUUCCAGAGGCUCCUCGGUUUCCAGCUUAGCCCGGCCGGCUGCGCUUUCUUCCUCGACAUGACCAACUGGAAUCUACAAGCAGCCAUUGGAGCCUAUUAUGAUUUUGAGAGUCCAAACAUCAACGUACCCUCCAUGUCCUUUGUUGAAGAUGUCACCAUAGGUGAAGGAGAGUCCAUCCCUCCUGACACCCAGUUUACAAAAACAUGGAGGAUACAAAACACAGGGACAGAGGUCUGGCCUCCAGGAGUUUGUCUGAAGUACGUUGGGGGAGACCAGUUUGGCCACGUAAACAUGGUCAUGGUCAGGUCCCUGGAGCCCCAGGAGAUUGCAGAUGUCAGCGUUCAGAUGUGCAGCCCCAGCACAGCAGGAAUGUAUCAGGGACAGUGGCGAAUGUGCACUGCCACAGGACUGUAUUAUGGAGAUGUCAUCUGGGUGAUCCUCAGUGUGGAAGUGGGAGGACUUCUAGGAGUAACACAGCAGCUGUCAUCCUUUGAAACGGAGUUCAACACGCAACCGCACCGCAAGGUAGAAGGAAACUUUAACCCGUUCGCCUCUCCACAGAAGAACAGGCAACCAGAUGAAAACAACCUAAAAGACCCUGGGGGUUCUGAGCUAGGCACAAUCAGCAAAAACACGUGGGGGCCUGCUCCUGACCAAAUUGAACAAGAUCAGAAUGGACUGUCACAAAACUCUGUAAAUCUCUCCCCCAGCAGUCACUCGAACAACUUGUCGGUAGUGACAUACAGUAAGGUAGGUGCCCUGGGAGAACAGGAGAAUGGGUAGGUGAUGAGACUGUGCUGUAUGUAAUAGUUCUUCAUUACAAACUGCAAAGCCCUUCCCUUCUGCUUCUGCCAGACCUGCUAAGGAAGGUUUUGAAUUUGACUGUCCGACUCUGCCAACUCCUCAUGUUAUAUUAAAAUACUUUUGCCUCUAAUAGACUCUACCAGAUCCACCUUUUCUUUUUGUUUUUGCUUCGAGUCCUUCUUAAAGUUUAUAUAAUCUUGUCUGGGUGCUGUAACUAUCAGUGGCUGGAGCCUAUUCCAGCUGCAUGUGCAAAUAAGUCAAAAUAUCUCUCAAGAUGUGUUCCUGAGUUUUACAUAAUUAAAAAGAGAAAACAUAACCACACCUCCAAAACUUGAGAUUAACCAGAUGACUUCUGUUGUUUGUUUUGUUUUGUUUUAAACUGGUGUGGAGAGACUGCAGAGCUCAGUGCUUUGGUCCCAGAAGCUAUUGGUCAGGAGCAGUCAGAGGACUAUUGCUGUGUCCUUGUCUUGUUUAUAAUUGGUUUCCACGGUCCUUAUCCCUUCGGACAGUCUUAAAACACACACACACAAAAACGGGUAUCGGCAAGAGGAGAAUUUAACAGAGAACUGACUUGUGGGGGAAGGGAGAGGGGGAUUCAUGUGGCAAACAGACGCGGCGUGGAGCCCCCUUCUCUGCCUCCAUGUUCUGGAUAAAGAAGACAAAAAAAAAAAGCCCAAUAACUUAAGACUGUUUCUGGAGGAAAGAUCUCAGUAUGCAUGUGUGAAUGCUGAAUUUCAGGAGUGCUGUUUAAUGCUAUGAGAAGGAAACUAUACCAACACCGUGAUUUUUUUUUUUUUUUUUUUUUUUUUUUAGAAGUCAUU